GGCAGCGGGGGGUAGCUUGCUACCUCGCCGGCGAGUGGCGGACGGGUGAGUAAUGCCUGGGGAGCUGCCCAAUCGAGGGGGAUACCAGUUGGAAACGACUGCUAAUACCGCAUACGCCCUGAGGGGGAAAGGUGGGGAUCUUCGGACCUACCGCGAUUGGAUGCGCCCAGGUGGGAUUAGCUAGUUGGUGAGGUAACGGCUCACCAAGGCGACGAUCUCUAGCUGGUCUGAGAGGAUGACCAGCCACACUGGAACUGAGACACGGUCCAGACUCCUACGGGAGGCAGCAGUGGGGAAUAUUGCACAAUGGGGGAAACCCUGAUGCAGCCAUGCCGCGUGUGUGAAGAAGGCCUUCGGGUUGUAAAGCACUUUCAGUCAGGAGGAAAGGUGGCUAGCUAAUACCUAGUUGCUGUGACGUUACUGACAGAAGAAGCACCGGCUAACUCCGUGCCAGCAGCCGCGGUAAUACGGAGGGUGCAAGCGUUAAUCGGAAUUACUGGGCGUAAAGCGCACGC
rnacentral:rRNA from 1 species